AAGGAAAAAGAAGACCUGAACUUCACUCUGACGUCUCUCAGUGAUGUCUCUUCUGGGACUGGGAUGCUUGAGCCCAGAGCUGAACUCAAGGUGAAUAGCACCAUGGCCAAGAAUGUUCCCAGCAACAUUGUUUGCAAGAGCUGAACCAGGUAAACAACCCACACGUCCACCAGCAGAUGAAUGAAUCAACAGAUGGUUAUCUCUUCAUGCCAGGGAAUAUUAUACAGCAAUAAGAAUGCAUGAACUCCAGCCGCACAUUGAUGAGUCUGAGAGACAUACUGUUGCCAGAAAGAAGCAAGUCUCAGAAGGUUACAUACUGUGUGAUGCCAUUUAAAAGAACUAAAACAAAAGCAAAACUAAACAAUAGGUGUUGUAAGCAUACACAUAUGAAAUAAAAAUUUUUUAAAAGAAAAAA